rnacentral:rRNA from 1 species
GCGGACGGGUGAGUAACACGUGAGAAUUCGCCUUUAGGCGGGGAAUAACCAUCGGAAACAAUGGCUAAUGCCCCAUAUGCUCGCAAGAGUGAAAGGAGCAAUCCACCCAAAGAGAAGCUCGCGGCUGAUUAGCUAGUUGGUAAGGUAAUGGCUUACCAAGGCGACGAUCAGUAGCUGGUUUGAGAGAACGAUCAGCCACACUGGAACUGAGACACGGUCCAGACUCCUACGGGAGGCAGCAGUGGGGAAUUUUCCGCAAUGGGCGAAAGCCUGACGGAGCAAUACCGGGUGAGGGAUGACG